CACGUAGGGGGGCAAGCGUUGUCCGGAAUCAUUGGGCGUAAAGAGCUCGUAGGCGGCUCGGUAAGUCGGGUGUGAAACCCCCAGGCUCAACCUGGGGACGCCACCCGAUACUGCUGUGGCUAGAGUCCAGUAGGGGAGUGUGGAAUUCCCGGUGUAGCGGUGAAAUGCGCAGAUAUCGGGAGGAACACCGAUGGCGAAGGCAGGUCUCUGGGCCAUUACUGACGCUGAGAAGCGAAAGCAUGGGGAGCGAACAGG
rnacentral:rRNA from 1 species